AUACCCGCUUGUAUAUUUACUUCAACACCCAAAUUUCAAGCGUUACGCAUUUAAAAAUCUUGCUAAUCCAAAUGAUUAGAGCCAUCUUCCUCACUUUUCACCAUUUGUACUCCCCUAUUACACUACCUGCAUCAUUCAUCAUAGAAGCCUCUGAUAUUAAACACUGUGCUUGUGAGGCUUCAAUCAAUUCUCUUUGUGGGCAGCUGCAAAACCCUGGAAACA
rnacentral:lncRNA from 1 species